rnacentral:tRNA from 1 species
GUCGUGGUGGCCGACUGGUUAAGGCGUUUGACUCGAAUUCAAAUGGGUUCUACCCGCACAGGUUCGAAUUCUGUACACGACG